GACGAACGCUGGCGGCGUGCUUAACACAUGCAAGUCGAGCGGUAAGGCCCUUUCGGGGGUACACGAGCGGCGAACGGGUGAGUAACACGUGGGUGACCUGCCCUCAGCUCUGGGAUAAGCCUGGGAAACUGGGUCUAAUACUGGAUAUGACUCCACGGUGCAUGUCGUGGGGUGGAAAGCCUUGUGCGGCUGAGGAUGGGCCCGCGGCCUAUCAGCUUGUUGGUGGGGUGANGGCCUACCAAGGCGACGACGGGUAGCCGGCCUGAGAGGGCGACCGGCCACACUGGGACUGAGACACGGCCCAGACUCCUACGGGAGGCAGCAGUGGGGAAUCUUGCGCAAUGGGCGAAAGCCUGACGCAGCGACGCCGCGUGAGGGAUGACGGCU
rnacentral:rRNA from 1 species